rnacentral:rRNA from 1 species
AUUGAACGCUGGCGGCAGGCUUAACACAUGCGAGUCGAGCGGGGGAAGGUAGCUUGCUACUGGACCUAGCGGCGGACGGGUGAGUAAUGCUUAGGAAUCUGCCUAUCAGUGGGGGACAACAUCUCGAAAGGGAUGCUAAUACCGCAUACGUCCUACGGGAGAAAGCAGGGGAUCGUCGGACCUUGCGCUAAUAGAUGAGCCUAAGUCGGAUUAGCUAGUUGGUGGGGUAAAGGCCUACCAAGGCGACGAUCUGUAGCGGGUCUGAGAGGAUGAUCCGCCACACUGGGACUGAGACACGGCCCAGACUCCUACGGGAGGCAGCAGUGGGGAAUAUUGGACAAUGGGGGGAACCCUGAUCCAGCCAUGCCGCGUGUGUGAAGAAGGCCUUAUGGUUGUAAAGCACUUUAAGCGAGGAGGAGGCUACUUUAGUUAAUACCUAGAGAUAGUGGACGUUACUCGCAGAAUAAGCACCGGCUAACUCUGUGCCAGCAGCCGCCGUAA